rnacentral:rRNA from 1 species
CCUACGGGCGGCAGCAGUGAGGAAUAUUGGUCAAUGGACGCAAGUCUGAACCAGCCAUGCCGCGUGCAGGAAGACGGCUCUAUGAGUUGUAAACUGCUUUUGUACGAGGAUAAAAUGCGAUACGUGUAUCGUGUUGAAAGUAUCGUACGAAUAAGGAUCGGCUAACUCCGUGCCAGCAGCCGCGGUAAUACGGAGGAUGCGAGCGUUAUCCGGAUUUAUUGGGUUUAAAGGGUGCGCAGGCGGAAGAUAAAGUCAGCGUUAAAAUUCAGAGGCUCAACCUCUUCGAGCCGUUGAAACUGGUUUUCUUGAGUGAGCGAGACGUAUGCGGAAUGCGUGGUGUAGCGGUGAAAUGCAUAGAUAUCACGAAGAACUCCGAUUGCGAAGGCAGCAUACCGGCGCUCAACUGACGCUGAUGCACGAAGGUGUGGGUAUCGAACAGGAUUAGAUACCCGGGUAGUC